rnacentral:tRNA from 1 species
CGGCCAGUUCGGCUGGGACGGCGGAGCCGGCACCUCGACGGUGUCACCCUCGGUUGGGGGCGGCCGAGUCGGGUUCGCCCCCGGUUGGCGGUC